CUCCUACGGGGGGCAGCAGUGAGGGAUAUUGGUCAAUGGGGGAAACCCUGAACCAGCAACGCCGCGUGAGGGAAGACGGUUUUCGGAUUGUAAACCUCUGUCCUCUGUGAAGAUAAUGACGGUAGCAGAGGAGGAAGCUCCGGCUAACUACGUGCCAGCAGCCGCGGUAAUACGUAGGGAGUGAGCGUUGUCCGGAUUUACUGGGUGUAAAGGGAGCGUAGACGGCAAUGCAAGUCUGGGGUGAAAGGCGGGGGCCCAACCCCCGGACUGCUCUGGAAACUGUAUAGCUGGAGUGCAG
rnacentral:rRNA from 1 species